AGCAGUCGCCGCGGGAAUACGGAGGGUGCAAGCGUUAAUCGGAAUCACUGGGCGUAAAGCGCACGUAGGCGGACUUUUAAGUCAGGGGUGAAAUCCCAAGGCUCAACCUUGGAACUGCCUUUGAUACUGGAAGUCUUGAGUUCGGGAGAGGUGAGUGGAACUGCGAGUGUAGAGGUGAAAUUCGUAGAGAUCGGGAGGAACAUCAGUGGCGAAGGCGGCCAUCUGGGACAACGCUGACGCUGAGGCACGAAAGCGUGGGGAGCAAACAGGAUUAGAUACCCUGUAGUCCCUGUCUCUUAUACA
rnacentral:rRNA from 1 species